rnacentral:rRNA from 1 species
CGCUGGCGGCGUGCCUAAUACAUGCAAGUCGAACGGUCUUUCUAUGGAAGCUUGCUUCCACUGAGAAGAUAGUGGCGAACGGGUGAGUAACACGUGGGUAACCUGCCCAUAAGAGGGGGAUAACAUCCGGAAACGGGUGCUAAUACCGCAUAGUUUUCUUGAUCGCAUGAUCGGGAAAGGAAAGACGGCCUUUGUGCUGUCGCUUAUGGAUGGACCCGCGGCGUAUUAGUUAGUUGGUGAGGUAACGGCUCACCAAGACGAUGAUACGUAGCCGACCUGAGAGGGUGAUCGGCCACAUUGGGACUGAGACACGGCCCAAACUCCUACGGGAGGCAGCAGUAGGGAAUCUUCCGCAAUGGACGAAAGUCUGACGGAGCAACGCCGCGUGAGUGAAAGAAGGUUUUCGGAUCGUAAAACUCUGUUGUCAGAGAAGAACAAGUUGGAGAGUAACUGCUCCAGCCUUGACGGUAUCUGACCAGAAAGCCACGGCUAACUACGUGCCAGCCGCGGC